UCAGUAGCAUGACUCUUUAAUCAUUGUUAUUUACAAUUUAUCAUCUGACAGACUUACAGAGAAUAAAUAAAGAAAAGAAAAUAUACAAUUGGUAUCACGUUUCUUUUUCUAAUACAGAGAAAUUUUACAUAUUCUAUUUGGAACGUCUAUGAUAGUUUUAAGCAGAAAUUAAAUCCAUUUGCCCUUUACCCCUUGACAAGACACAUCAUCUUCCAAAGCCUGCAGAAGGGGGCCCAGAUGUUUCCUCAUCACAGGAAGAGUGCACCACAUCGCUGCAGAAACUCAGUCCUCAGAAAAAGUUACCAGGCAACAAGGUAGAAGAAUAGGAUAUCAUGAAUAAUAAAGGACAUAUAAUGGAUAGGCUAGAUUACAGACUCUUGGUGUGUUUGCAGGAAGCCAGCUUUCAAUUGUGUCCAAGCCUGUUUUCAAGAAAACAGUUUUUCACUGAAAGUGAUUACCUUAUCCCAUUGUGCUUCCCUUGAGUCUCUGCAAAUUCUUCCUUGACAUGUUCAUUGUGAUUGUGGAUGAGCACAGGCUAGCUUGGGACUCAGAUUAUUUUCCUGCAAGGCACCUGACACUGUUGCAUGUUGUUGACAAGGUGUCUGCAGGAGAAACUAGAUAGCUUGUUUCAAAUAGGCUGGGUAUGAGGCCAGAGUCUGGUCUCUCCUUUUGAUUCGGUGUCCUGUGGAGAACUACCUUUCAUUGCUGUCUAAAUGCCUCAAAAAAUUAAGCAGUUCUAUAGAUCAAUUUCUCCAUCAAAAAGUAUACAAACAGAGAAUGCACUUCACCAGGAACAAGUCUGAGUAAUUUUUUUCUCUUUCCUCACUUGAAAAUAAACUCUCCAUGUUACAAGCAAAACAAUUCUCCCUACAUUCACUCUAGUUAACUGGAUGAGAAGUUUUUGUUUCUAUCUUAUGUUCAUUCAAAAAAACAACAUUCAGCAAAUAUUUAUCAAGUGCUCACAAUGACCUAGAAACUUAGUAAGACACACAUUGUUAUAAUCUUGACCCCUUAAAUAGGGGACUUAAAAAUGUCAAUCAUAAAACUCAAAACUGUAAUCCACAAAACUGGAGUUUCAACUUCUCCCCAGGUUGCCGCUGUGUUUGCAAUUAAUUUGGUCUAAUGUGGUUGUUAUUCCAUUUAAUAACGGCUAUUUAGGCAAAUAAAACCUCUCUACCACUCUGAAAAUAGUAUUUUAUCAAACAUUAGGAGUCUAUACCAUUGUAUUCUAUUCUCUCCACAAGCUAUUUCCAGUGCCAUUAACUAAGUGCCAACUAACUCUUGACUGAAAUACUGGUUUACUCUAAACUCCUUAUUUUGUCCCCAGUGCUAAUCCUACUCACGUAGAAGCAGCAGGAAGCAUCUAGAAUAUCCUGCUACCUGGUUUUCUAGACAACAAGCUAUGAACAGGUCUUACUGUGUUUUGUGUUGCCUAAUCUUUCUAAGUUUGUCUUGGAUUGUUUCAGAUGCCAAACAGCCAAACAAAUCAGAAAAUUUAGAAGCAGUGUAGGCAGGGUAUUGCUCAUGACAAAGGAACACAUUAAUGUGUUAAUAGUCUCUCUAAAACUGUAGAACUUUAUCCAGAUAGUAUCUUUCCUGUUGUAUCCAAGCAAGGCCAGUUUACAAAUCAGCAAGAAUUAAAAGUAUCCAGCAACUAAAUGAAUAUGUGUGGAAAAACUGGCGAAAUUGAAAAAAGGUCUGUAGUUUAGUUAAUAGCAUUAUGCCAAUGUUAAUUUUCUGGUUCCGAAAAUGGACUAAGUGAAAUGUUAUAAAUGGGGAAAACUGGAUCUAGGGUAAGGCCACUCUACUAUUUUUGUAACAUCUUGUGAGCCUUAAGUUCUUUCAAAAUAACAAGUUUUUUGUUUUUUUUUAAAGGAUACAGCAACUCAACAAUUCCCCACUGCUCUUUGGCACCAAGUAAUGCAGCUAAUUGUCUCAUACCACCAUCCACUUUGUGUUUGAAAACCUCCAUUUUCCUUGCAUUGUUCUUGAGCCUCUAUCUUAACCUCUCCAGUGACAAGAGACUCCUCACCUCUGGUGGCAGCCCAUUUAUCCUUGUAUGUUCUGAGUGCUUCGUUUUCCCCAAUAAGGAAUGGAAAUCAGUCUCCCUGUAACUUCUCCACAUCAGUUCCUAGGACAACUUUUUUGGGGACACUCAGAACAGAUCUAUUCCCUCUUAGACAAGGCCAUUAGGUAUUUAUGCCUGAGAAAUUCAGCCCCAAGCCCAAAGAUCCCACAGAGGCUUCAUCCUUGAAAAUGCUAGAAGAUUUGGACAAGAUGAACUCAAGAGUCUACCAUCAAAACAUCAAGAUAUCAAAACAUCAGACUUUACUGAUUAAAAACUCAGAUUCUCACUAAAACACACACAUGAAAAUAUCUGAACAAGACAAAGAAGAGAACCCUCUUACAAAAUCACAAAUAAAUGGUGGAUAGCAUGUCUGUUAUGUGUCCUCCAUUGACCUCCUUUCCUAUGUCCAUUAUCUAUUCAUGAAUCCUUCCAUCCAUGAGGUACUUUUUUUUUGUAAAUGACAAUCCCCCUUCAUACACUCUUGCAGCAGACAUUCUUUCCUAUCUACAUCCCCAGUUGUUUCAUAUAUGAACUUCAAUCCUGACCCCUGCCCAUGAAUGAACAGAACACCCAUUUCAAGAAAUUGGGGGUUUUCAAGAAUAUAUCAUUCACUUUGACAGGAGAGAGAAAUACAAACAGUGAGACAUGUCCAGAGGCCAAAUUAGAAAACCACCUGUGAUUAGUUGCUGAAUUCUGAGUCCUCAGAUUCUCCACAUCUAUCAAGUGUUUUCCCUAAACUUAAUCUCAUGUUUCCCAAGACAUUAGUAUUCUUCAAGUUUUUCUUUCUGAAGAUUCUUUUAGAAUGACAUGGAAAAAUAUUGUAGAAUCUGCACAUUUAUAAGCACAAGUAUAGUUAACCUUUAUAAAUUAUCUGAAUUUUCUAGCCUUUGUUAUCCAACACUUUGGUAUAUCAAAGAUUUUCUUUUACUAGAUUGUAUCUGCCCUAGGCUUUUUUUUUUCCUUUUUUAGUUCUUUAAUGUAAAAAAAAAAAAAAGUGUAUAUGAGUCAGGGGUAGGGAGUGGGGGUGACCA
rnacentral:lncRNA from 1 species